UAAGAGUGUUGAUGUCUUGCAGUGGAAUUUGAAUGUAAUCUAGAACUACACCUUUCACUCAUUUCACUUUUUGAAGGUGCAGCAGCCAAAUCGCACAAGCUCGGCUGCCUCUGAGGCUGUCAGGGCCCACCUGACACCCCCUUCAUCAGGUGUGCAGCGCUUUAAUGCCAACAGAGAUAAACAAAUCAACAUUCACUACUGAGCUCCAAUACCGCCACCUACCUGCGUAGGAUGUUAUAGGUGAGCAUGUGCAGGCAGACAGGAGGAAAUAGAAAGCAAAGAAGAAGAUAAAUGAGAUCUGACAGGAUGACAUCUGACAGCAGACGGACCAGCACAGGCCUGUUCAGACUGAUUUCCUUUCUUCUGCUUUCCACACACAUAUACAGCAUGCUGUACAGUUAGACACAGAAGAAAAUACUGGAGACUGAAUUAUAGGUUUCAAAUGGGGAAGAAAAAAACAACCCCCCCCCCCAAAAAAAAAC
ensembl:lncRNA